UUUAGCAUUAAUAUUUAUUUUCUUUUAGAAUAAUUAAUAUUAAUUAGUAGUUUUAUUAUAUGUUUAUUAAGAGUUCAUCAAUUCUUCUAUUCUCUUAUUUCUUCUUAGUACAGUUCUACUCUAUUUUUCUGGUUCAUUAGUCAGUCAGUCAUGUGUCAUAUUAUCUUGUCUACUAUUGGUCACAGUCAUUGAGUUCAUAGUUUUUGCCACUCUUUUUGAUAUACCUUGAGAGAAAGCUUUACAUGUAGCAGCCAUAUUUAAAAUAGUUAUAUAGUUUAUAUUCUGGACACUUAUUCCAUAUUAAUCAGGACCAGAAUAUCUUCAUAUUAAAUUAAUCUGGUGAUGUUUCUAAACAGGAGAUAGACCUUUGUACCAUAUACAUGGGUUGAUUUAUUUAUGUCGUAUGAAUAAAUGAAUAAUCAAACUUGACGAAUCCUUUUAUUCGCCACAAGAACCCUAUUUCAUUUGGCGCCCACUAGUAGGUUAGACGUUCAACGACAUAUUUCCUGUUGGAGCCUCACUAAAGGUCAGGAUCUAGGACGUGACAUCCACCGGAAGAUUGGAAAAAUCAGUCGAAAAUAUUGAACACGUUGCUGAAAUUGUUUAUUGUACAGACUAUUUGCUGUUGUAUACAUUGUUUAUGUAAUGAAAUGGUGAGAAUAUAUACAUAGUUUACACUCUAUAUAAAUAUUUUGUAAAUAUUUGGUAUCAGAAAGCCACUAUUGAAGAAAAACAUUGACUUUGAAAACAUCCAAAAUUUGAAAUUGGCCAUUAUCAUGCAUGUUUUGUGUUGAUAUUGUAUAUUAUUGUGCUGUUUAUAAAUUUUCUUUGUUUGAAUAAUACUGACAACUGGUCUGCUUGUCCAAACUUAGAAAAUUUUUGA